rnacentral:rRNA from 1 species
UACGAACGCUGGCGGCAGGCCUAACACAUGCAAGUCGAACGGUUGUAGCAAUACAGCCGUGGCGCACGGGUGAGUAACGCGUGGGAAUCUGCCCAGUAGUACGGAAUAACAGUUGGAAACGACUGACAAUACCGUAUACGCCCUUCGGGGGACAGUUUUUCGCUAUUGGAUGAGCCCGCGUCAGAUUAGCUAGUUGGUGGGGUAAUGGCCUACCAAGGCGACGAUCUGUAGCUGUUCUGAGAGGAAGACCAGCCACACUGGAACUGAGACACGGUCCAGACUCCUACGGGAGGCAGCAGUGGGGAAUAUUGGACAAUGGGCGAAAGCCUGAACCAGCCAUGCCGCGUGAGUGAUGAAGGCCUUAGGGUUGUAAAGCUCUUUUGGCGGGGAAGAUAAUGACGGUACCCGCAGAAUAAGUUCCGGCUAACUUCGUGCCAGCCGCCGCUGUAA